UCGCCUUCUCUCUAUUCUCUCAGACCCUUACCCCUAUGCCGCUCAGCCACACACAAGUGCGAGACUUUCUCUCUCCCAGCAACACAACCACACACACUCUCCUUUGCAAGAACCCCAAAACCAACGCCUCUGCCAUGGAAAUGGUAGCACAUUUGAAGCUCAAAUCUUCCCACAAAGGUAAUCUUCGUCCCUGUCCUUGUUUAAUAGGUGCACAAUUGUUGAUUUUUUUUUCGGAAAAGAGGAACAUUAACUCAUGAUGAUCUGCUUCCUUUGCGAGGAUGUGGGUUCGUCGACGAAACCCAAAGAAAAUAAAGAACAACAUUCAAACGGCUCAGAUCCAAGACAGAAAGGGUAAAAUUACUAGUCUCCAUAAUUGAUCUCUCGCUACAUGUAAUUAUAAUGGUAUGGUAUGUGUGCAGAACACUUGGAACCAUGACAGAUCCGAGAGAAAGAACGCUUAAACUAGAGAUCCCCUGGACAGAAGGUAGGACACAUCUCAAAGGCCUUGAUUUGUCAAUUUGGAAGGUAUAACCACUUGGAGAGCGAACGGGCGACGGGGAUAUGGAAAAUGCAGAAAUAUUUUUUGAAAUUGAGCUCCGGCAAGGUUUCGGAUGGUGAAUGCAGGGGAUAUGGAAAAUGCUGAAAUAUAUAUUUUUUUAUUAUUAAUAUAUGUUCUGUCGUUUUUAUCCAACAAUUUUUUUUUUCUUAUAAUAAAUGUUCUGUCGGUUAUAGCCGACAGAAGUC
rnacentral:lncRNA from 1 species